AAUGAGCUCUGCUAUGGAUACCAGGCAGAGUCCCCAGGUGGCACAGAUGGUUAAGUACUCUACUAUUAACCAAAAGACUGGCUGUUCAAAUCAACCUAGAGGCACCUUGAAAAACGGGCCAAGAGAUCUACUUCCGAAAAAUCAGCCAUUGAAAACCCUAUGGAGCACAGUUCUACUCUGCACACAAGGGUUGCCAUGAAUCGGAAUUGACUGCAUGGUAGCUAACAACAACACGAAUACCAGAGGAGUGAAGAAUUCAAGCUAAGGACCGCUUUUCUAUUGCAACGAAUAGGCGCUCCUUUGCUCUUGAAAAUGCAACAGGAGAGGGAUGGCUCUCCAACCUGAAGACAAAAGGCAUGCCACUGCAGCUAUGUAUUUGGAAGGCAGGAUUCUUGGGUACCAACCGGCCACUAACUCCAAGUCAAAGCCAAAGUCUUUCCACUGUAACUGUUCAGUAAAUGAGGCUCCAGGAAUUGAUAGAAUACCAGGUGAGGUGUUUCAGUAAAUGGAUGCAGCACUGGAAGUGCUCAUUCAUCUAUACCAAGAAAUUUGGAAAGCAGCUACCUGGCCAUCUGACUGGAAGAGAUCCAUAUUUAUGCCUAUCCUCCAAAAGGGUUACUUAAACGAAUGCAGAAGUUAUUGAACAAUAUUGUUAAUAUCACACACAAGUAAAAUUUUGCUGAAGAUCAUUCAGAAAAGGCUGCAGCACUAUAUGUACAGGGAACUCCCAGAAAUUCAAAAUGGAUUCAGAAGAGGAUGUGGAACCAGGGAUAUCAUAGCUGAUGUCAGAUGGAUCCUGGCUGAAAGCAGAGAAUACCAGAAAGAUGUUUACCAGUGUUGUAUUGACUAUGCAAAGGCCUUCAACUGUGUGAAUCAUAACAAAUCAUGCAUAACAUUAUGAAGAAUGUAAAUUCUAGAACACUUAACUGUGGUCAUGAGGAGCCUGUACAUAGAUCAAGAGGCAGUAUUUUGAAAAGAACAAGGGGAUACUGCGUGGUUUAAAGUCAGGAAAGGUAUGCGUCAGCGUUGUAUCAUUUCACCAUACCUAUGCAGUCUGUAUGCUGAACAAAUAAUACGAGAAGCUGGACUAAACGAAGAAGAACAGGGCAUCAGGAUUGGAGGAAGACUCAUUAACAACCUGUGCUAUGCAGAUGACACAACCUUCCUUGCUGAAAGUGAAGAGGACUUGAAGCACUUACUGACGAAGAUCAAAGACCACAGCCUUCUGUACAGAUUACACCUCAACAUAAAACAAAAAUUCUCACAACUGGAGCAGUAACCAACAUUAUGAUACGUGGAGGAAAGAUUGAAGCUGUUAAGGGUUUCAUUUUACUUGGAUCUACAAUCAACACCCAUGGAAACAGCAGUAAGGAAAUCAAAAGACAUUGCAUUGGGCAAAUCUGCUGCAAAAGACCUCUUUAAAGUGUUCAAAAGCAAAGAAGUCGCCUUGAAGACUAAGGUGUACCUGACCCAAGCCAUGGUGUUUUCAGUUGCCUCAUAUGCACUCAAAAGUAGGACAACAAAUAAGAAAGACUGAAGAAUUGACAACUUUGAAUUGUGGCGUUGGCAAAAAAAAAUUGUGAUGUUGACUAUACCGAGGACUGCCAAAAGAACGAACAAAUCUAUCUUGGAAGAAGUAUAAGCAGAAUUCUCCUUAGGAGCAAGGAUUGUGAGAAAUGUCUCAUACUUUGGACAUGUUAGCAGGAGGCAUCAGUCCCUGGAGAAGGACAUCAUGCUUGGUAAAGUAGAGGGUGAGCAAAAAAGAGAAAGGCCUUCAAUGAGAUAGAUUGACACAGUGGCUGCAACAAGGGUCUUAAGCAUAACAAUGAUUAUGAAGAUGGUGCAGGACUGGGCAGUGUUUCGUCCGGUUGUACAUAGGGUCACUAUGAGCCAUAACCGGCUGGAUGGCACCUAACAAUAACACAGAGCCAGACGUUGGACACACUCAGUGCUGGGGCAACACAGAGCACCACGUAGAUGAGGUCUCUGUCCUAAUGAUGGUGAAGAUGGCGUACACUCAGGCAAAGGGACGGGCCAAAACAACCAGGGGAGUCCUGGAGAAGGAAGCAGUAAAGGUGGGAUUUGAGGAAAUCCACCGGAUCCCUGAGCACCAGCAGAGCCUGCUCUGCAAAUCUUCAGGAGGCUCCUCCUUCCUUCAAGAUCUUGCCCAAGCACUGAAGCCUGAACCAGACAGUGAGGGUCAAGGCAGCGAGAAAAAUCUAGGAGCUUGGAAGAUGGCAAAAAGAAAGUGGUCAGGUCCAAGACAGACCUACUUUGCCAAGUUCUAAACCAACUUUCUGAGCUCUAAUGAAACCCAAACCCCUGGAUGUUGGGCCGACUUACACUGGCAUGAAGUGACUUCCUGUUUUUGAAGAAAAGAGGUGGGUAGACGCUCAGAGACAUGUUCUGGGCAUCAGUCAGCUUUGACAAAACAGCCGUUUCUUGACUUCAGCAUAAGUGGGGUGAUAUGGUGAGAUAGAAUUAUGCCCCAAACAAGAAGUUUUUAAAAUUAGAUGGGGUGGGUACUUAGGAAGAGGGAAGUGUGCCAAAGCAGAGGCAGGUGCUGUGGGUCUGGAGACACAGCAACAACACAUUUAAUGAACUCUUGGUGUAACCUGCUGUAGUCAUUUUCAGGAUGACACUAAGACACUGGUGUUAAAAGAGGGGGACUGGGAGACCAGAGAGCACAACGCUGGCUGCUACUUCUGGGAGCUGGCUUCAUUGCUGCUCAAUGACCAUUUAACCACAGGAAAAGGUCCAGCAGAAUGUAGCAGCUCAUUAAUAGAUACCAGAGGACUAAGGUGUGCUAUCAGGCCAGUAGGGCACCAACCCAUACUGGGUUUUCUGGGAAAGACCCAGUUUCAAAGGGUCCUAGCUGGUAGACCACGCAUGCUAUUUUCCAUAAUGGGAGUAAGGUCAUCAUACCCAUGGACAGCAAUAAACACCUUCGCUAGGUUCUGGCUUUGGUUCAGGUAUGUCCCCUUCUCAGCGAGUCCUUCCCUGGCCGAGCUACAUAAAACAGCACACCUCCAUCACCUACCCACUCACCCUUUACCUGUGACAUUUCUCUGGAUAGCAGCUAUCACCACCUGACAUAUCAUAAAUUCAUUUGUCUCCCCAUACCCUGUCAUCUUCCCCCAAACCAUAGUAAAGCAUAAAUCAUGGUUAAAAGACUUAGCGUAGGAAUCUAUAUUUCUCUCUUCCCAACCUCAGGCCUGUGUCUUACAAUUCCAUGUCUUCCCUGGGGCCUUGUGUGCAGUAGGCCCUUUAAUAAGAAAAAAAAAAAAUUAAUAGACAUGUAAAAAAUAUAAAAGAUGAAUUCCAGUGGAUUUUACCCUACAUGAAAGGAGAGGAAUAAAGGACCAGAUGCCAGAGCACAGGAGGCUCCACAACAGUCAUGCUGAUACUGAAGAGUAUGUGUAUCAUCAGGACCCCAAAACUUUGGGUCCUUGCUCAGUACCCCUUUGCCUGGACCUUGUCUUACUCUACCCACGCCACGCAUGGCCACCAUGUUCCCUUCCCGCCGACUGCCAUAUCCCUCUACCCUCUGCUGACAUAGUGUUUCCCACCCUGCACUCAGCAUUACCUGGUCUCCACACGGUUUCUAAGCAUUCUUAUACCACCAAAACCUACCAGACCCACCCCCCAUGCCUCUCCUGGUUUUACCUAGCAACUCAGACUAAUUGCAGCCAGCUUUCCCCAGGGAUAAAUUUAUUUGACCAGGAAAGCACAAUAAAUUUGGGAGUGGGAUAAAGGAUAAGGGUGGAGAAGGGUGCAAAGUCCUUCUUGCCUCACUGGUUAGGAAGGCUAACAUUUGCAAACAAUUAGUUUUGCUUCUACUGCACUUAGUAGCCAUCUGAGGAUGGCAUGUAACGUUAUCAUUUGCAUCUCACAGUCAUGAAGGUGCAGAAGGUCAAGUUCUCACGGUAAGUUAAGAGGAGAACUAAGCCAAGGACCCAGUUUCUCUCAGUCCUGGGUCCACGUGCUGAGUCACUGAGAAGUUGCUUCUUGUUGUUUUUAGUUGUUGUGGAGUCAGCCGUUGACUCACAGCAACCUCAUGCAAAACAGGAUUGGACCAUUGUGAUCCGCAGGGUUUUCAUUGGCUGAUUUUCACAAGUAGAUUGCCAGGCCUUUCUUUUUAGUCUUAGUCUGGAAGCUCCUCUGCAACCUGUUCAGCAUCCUAGCAACAUGCAAGCCGCCACUGACAGCCGGGUGGUGAUUGCACAUGAGGUGCACCGGCCAGGAAUCGAACCUGGGUCUCCAGCAAGGAAGGUGAGAGCUCUACCACUGAACCACCACUGCCCUCUGUGCAGUUGCUAUACGGGGUAGCUAAAAAAAAACAAAAACAAAAAUACAGGAUUUGGGGUCAGAAAUCUCUAAGUAUGAAUCAUGUCCUUUGCUAACUGAGAAAGUUAUUUGAACUUGCUAAGCCUCCAUCUUUCUUUGGUGACAAUGGGAAAACAAUACGGUUGUAAUGUUUAAGUGAAAUUGCAAACACAAAGCACCCAAUCAGUGUCUAGGCAUGGCAGAUAGUUUGAUAAUACAUCAUUAUCCUUUCUUUUCUAGAAUUCCAGGUGCCUUAUUUUUUCUUGCUAGACCCAGCCAAGGUUUCAAAAUAAUAUUAUCAGGAGAAGGAGACGAAGAAGAAGGAGGAGGAGGUAGAAAGGAAGAGAAGAAAAAGAAUAAACAGUUAGCAGCCUGUUUGGAUUGGAAUCCUAAUGAUGAUAGUAACUUAUCAAUAUAUCUGGAUGGAUGGGAAAACCGGUCACCAGGUACAGUGCAGAAAGUGCUAGGAUGGAGGUAGGCAGGAAGGAGUGGGACCCCGUCUUUAAGAAGCCUUGCGGAGGGCAUACGAGUUGGAAUGGGUCUUUAAGGGUGAGUAAGAAUCCAGCGAGGCAGGGGAAAGGCAUUUAGGGCAGAGUGAACCACAUAUGCAAAGUCACUGAGCAGAGGCCCAGCAGGCCUGGGGUGGCUGCGGCGUGAACAGCAUUGUGGAAGGGACGGACAUAAAACCGAGAAGGCGUGUGACCAGGUUGUGAAGGGCUCACUGUGGCAGCCCGAGUAGUGGGGCUUUACCGGGAGUCCCCUGAGGGGUAGGAACAUGACAGGCUUGCUUCAUAGAGAUGAUUCCAGGUACUGCUUGGGGUGUGGGGGAGGGGAGGUUGGAGUAGGGAGGCAGCCAGUAGCCACCCCAUCAAGAAAAUCCGUACAGUAGACGGGCCCCAUACAGUAAAGGGGUGAAAUCUUUACACCAGCGAUAAACCCUGGAGUGGCCAAAAUCUAAAAUGCGGGUUGGAUUUCUUAGCCCAGUCUCUUCCCCCUGCUCUGUGUCGGAGUCAUGACAAACCCUCUCCCUGGCUCCCAGCUGCUUUCUAAUCCCAGGGAUAAACAUGAGUCAUCCAAAGGAAAGGGCCCCCAAAACCAAAGGGAAUACUUAUUUUAAGUAGAUUGACGUCGGUAGGAAGGAGAAAAAAAAGCCUCCGUGGCCUGAAUGGGGCGCCAUGACAUUUGCACAGCCCAGCCAUUGUGUAGACAGAAAAUUCCUCAAGGUUGUGUUUGUCCAAGAAAUCAGACAGUUUACGGUCCCUGAGUCAAAACACUCAAGGAUUGGGAGCCAGGGUUUCCUGGGCUGAACCCAGUUACUAAAUAAAAUGAAAAGGAAAGAGCCAUGAGGUGCCAUGAAUUGUUAAGCGGGUGGGGUUGGCUGCCAAGGCUCCAAUCCAGCAGAUGCAACAGCAGGCUCAGGGAGCACUGGGGUUUGCCAGGCCCUCCGCACGCCCACCCACGCCCCAGCUCCCUCCACCCUGACAGGCACUGCGGGCACCGUGGACGCUGGUGGAGUGCAGAGGUGGCUUAGCCACCUCAGGGCCCUGGACACAACGGAGGCCGUGAGCCCUGGCCACGUCUGCAGGCCAGCCAGAUCUGAGCAGAGUUCCUCCUCACAGCUCAAAAAAACCACCCUCUCCGUUCGUUGUGAGGGCAGUGGUGACUCCGUGGUAGAAUUCUCGCCCUCCACGUGGGAGACCUGGAGCCCUGGUAGCACAGUGGUUAAGAGCUCGGCUGCUAGCCAAAAGGUUAGCUUGAAUCCACCAGCCACUCCUUGGAAACCCUGUGGGGCACUUCUACUCGAUCCUAUAGGGUCAAUACGGGUCAGGGUCAACUCAACAGCGGCAGUGGGCUAAUGGUCAGCGUGAGAGGCCCAGGUUCGAUUCCUGGCCAAUGCACUUCAUGUGCAGCCACCAUCCAUCUAUCAGUGGAGGUUUGUGUAUUUUUAUGAUGUGGAAUAGGUUUCAGUGGUGCUUCCAGACUAAGACUAGGAAGAAAGGCCUGGCAACCUACUUCUGAAAAUCAGCUAAUGAAAAUUCUAUGGAUCACAACGAUCCAGUUGGCAACGGACUACAGGGAUAAUGCAGGACUGGGCAGAAUUUCGUUCUGUUGUGUGUGGAGCCAAUAAUUCCUCUUGCUAAUUUUCUAACAGUCUACUCUGGCAUCCUGCCAACGAUGACCACCAGAAGUAGCAUAGCAUGCCAGUCCUCCUUUAUCUUGUUGGAAAAAUUUGUGGGAGAGGUGGUUUACAGACUUUAUCACCUGUGGGAGAAAGAGAUGAAAAGGAAAGCCACACAAGUGGGAACAGUGGGAAGAAAAAGGGGAGACAGAAGGGUGCCCCAUCACCCCCUUCCUCUGUCCCCAGUGUCUGUAUCCCAAGGGAGCUCAGGAACCACCACACACCAGCUGCUGGUGAACAACUGCCUGCAGACAGUCACUGAGCUCUUCUCAGGACCACCCUGCAGAAACACGGGGGGAAGGAUCAGGGACAGUGAUGAGGAGAGAAUCCUGCAUGAUAUUGCAGUGCCCCAGGUCACUGACUAGGACCUGCCUGGGAAAAAAAACACACCAGGCCACUUUUUGCUGGGGCUGUGUGUGUUUGGGGUUGCGCAGUGACCCUGGACGUUGCUCAGAUGUCUUGCACAGGGCCACCCCUCCCUCUGGGCACCCACUGAAUUCGCGUCACUGAUGGGUGGCAGUGUAGUCACCGCAUGAAGGCUGUCCAGGACCUAAGCCCUAAAGAGUGCAUCUCUGAGAGAUGCUGAGAGAGUUCCCCGAAGCUGAACGGAACAAAUUCAGAGGGAGGCGUGAAGGCCCUUCUUCAAGGCGAGAAGCAAAAACUUUUCAUAAAUGAACAAAGGAGGAAAGAACCCAGCCUAAGGCUGCAAACAAUUAACGCCAUCUUGUUUAUUUCCCAAAAAGCAGGUGGACUUGUCUUUUUUAUAAGCUAUUUUUUAUAAGGUUAGUUUUCUUUUUUAGAGUUCUUUUAAGGAAGAUCACUUCCAUGGUAGACCUCCUGAGAACAGAGCUGGGCAUUUUCUGUGGGAGAGCCUGAGUCUUCAUCACCACCAACGAGCGUUCAGUGAUCACCCACAAGUUCCGUCAUUUACCCCAACUUUACCUCCGAGUUGGAUUCCAGUCGCCUUAGAAGCCCCGUGAGGGAUGGUGGAAGCUUUUUGCCAUGGUGAUGCUGUGUUUAAAUUAGGAACUAAUAAAGGUCUCUGCAGCCAGCCCCUUGUCAAGAGCGUAUCACAUUGUCCUUGGCAAAGAGGUGAACACCACCUACUUCAUCAUCAACCUCGCCAUCGUCACCAUCACAAGCAUGACAACAAUUCCAGCAGCAACUGUACUACCUAAUGUUUCCCUGGCGCCUACUAUGCACCAGAUACUGGGCUACGUUGUCUCCUGUAAGUCUCUAAACAGACACCAUUAUUAUUCCCGUUUUACAGAUGAGAGAAGUGAGUUUUAAAGAAGUAAAGUAACCUGCCAGAGUCCACACCCCAGGCCUGACUGGCCCCUGAGCCUGAGCACAGGCAUACCAAAAAAAAAAAAACCUUAUUGCCGUGGAGUCACUUCCAACUCAUAGUAACCCUAUACAACAGGGUAGAACUGCCCCAUAGUGUUUCCAAGGCUGUAAUCUGUAUGAAAGCCGACUGCCACAACUUUAUUUCAUGGAGUGACUGGUGACUUUGAACCACCAGCCUUUCGGUUAGCAGCCAAGCGCUUUAACCACUGUGCCACCAAGGCUCCUUGUGCACAGGCUUGCUGCCUCUCAAAGGCAUCUUCCCCAUUGCCCUACUCACCCAGGUGGCUCAUCAGGUCCUGGAAUACCUCAUGAGUGGUCACUUUCCUACCCAAGGAGGAUGGCCAGGGCAGGAAUUUUGUGCCCACUUGCAAAGCCAAGAUCAAAUCUUGUUAGUAUUCUCCUCUCCUGGUCAUUUGUUAAAGCAUUUAGCAAAUAACUGCUGGGUGCUUACGAUGUGUUCUGUUAAGCACAUGAGAUAAUAAAGAAGACAGUGUGUAUGGGGUUUUGUAAGGUUGGCAGUUCAAACCCACCAGCCACUCCUUGCAAACCCUGUGGGGAAGUUCUCCUCUGUCCUGUACGGUUGCUAUGAGUCAGAAUUGACUCAAUGGCAGCAGGUUUGGAGCUAUGUUUUACUAUGGGGAGUGAAGAGUAAGUAUUGGGGAAGGGUAAGCAGGAAUUACAACAAUGACCUGAAACCAUUCUGUUGUUCUUGCCUCCAGCUUCUACUUCCUUCACAACCACCACCACCCAUCCCCAGAAAGCCUACCUUUCCAGGUGGUCUGGUAUCUAAGGUCUCCAAGUCUGCCCCCACCCACCAGCAUCAAAUCAUGGAGAAGCAUGGAUGUUAGGACAAGUAUAACCUAGGUCUGAUUUCCAGCAUGACUACUUAUAACUGAUAACCUUCCUGAGCUUCAGUUCACAUCUAUAAAAUAAUUUCCCUUUGAUACUCUUAGAUAGACUAUGAUCAAAUGGGGCAAGACAACAUUUGGACUGACUUGAGGAGUAAAUGUCAGGUGAGGAAAUGGAGGUAGCAAAUAGAAUUGCUUUGGAGAAGUGUGUAUAAAAAGAGGAAGACAGAUUUGAUGGUAGUUGGGAGUGAGGGUAGAGCUGAGGGAAGGGGCUCAAGGAUGGGAAGGUGUUUUGCACAUUUGUAAGUGAGAAGAGAAACCAACAGAGAGGGAGAGGUUAAAACAUAGGAAAAGGCAACCAUGACUCUUGGAAGACACAGAAAGAGGCAGAUGGACAUGGGCUCACGGUGCAGUUGAAUGAAUUAGCCUUGAACCUGGGAGUAUCGUCCCCUUCUCCUCUGAUGUGAGUGGGGAGGAUGCAGAGAUGGUGCAGAAACAGGCAGACACGUGUGUAAGUAGCCAAGCAGACACAUAGAAAAGGUAAUUCCUGAUAAAAAAAAAAAUUUUUUUUUUUUUUUAGUCUCACUUUUUUUAAC